CAAUUCACCUCAUUCCAGAAUUUUCUUUUCUUUGAUAUUUAUUUAUGUUUGUCCUUUCCAAUUUUAAACCCUACAAAAAUGUUGAAAAUUUCAAUGUUUGCUUCCAACAAAGUAGAAAAAACUUCACUCCCUGUCUCCCAACUUCUGCAGAUUUCAAGUGUUUAUACUUUAUAUCCAUAGAGAUUCAUCCGAAGAUUGUUUGACGAUGAGAGAGAGCACGCUUGUUAGCGAUUAUGCAAGUAUAUUAACAUGAUUGUGUAUAUGCGUGCUCUCUGUCAUUGUCAUAUAAUCUAAUGAUGGAGGCAAUUUCAUUAUUUCUUCUCGUCGUGGAUGGGAGGAUGUCAGCAGAGAACUGUCACAGGAUCGAGUAUCAUCUUUCUACCCUUUGAUUGGAGAACAAUUACAGUUUAUACCCUUUAAUAAAAUGGCAAUGUGAUGCAAGGUUUGGCGUGCGUCAUCCCCAAGAAUUGAUCAGCAUAUCAAGUUGACAUUUAUUUGUGUCAAUGUGAUAGAAGGGUGAUGAGUUGAUGAUUUGAAUCUGCAAACAGUUAAGUUCAGUCAAGCGACAAUUGACUAACAUGCUGCUGGUCUCUAGAGACCGGAGUGAAAAAUAUAUGUUCCGAUGAUCACUGGUGGUGCAUACCCUUACUUCUGUUUCCUAUAAUUAUGUGAUUGUGUAAUGAUGUUACUCUUUUGUUACAUGUUACAGUUACUAGGGUUUGUAGAUAUACAAUUGAAAGAGCAGCUUGAUCGAUCUGGCUCUUUUGCGGUGGAUUUUCCUCUCAUGUUCUGGUCGACUCUUUAUUUUUCUUUUGUUGAUUUUAUGAUCUAUUAAGUCUCUUCUAUUGCGCUUGAAUAGCCACACGCCCACACCUAUGAUUAUUUGCUCAUCAUCGAACUGCUCCAAGUUUACGAAACCUAGGCUUGUUUAAAAGGGCAUAAAUAAAGCAUUAAUAUUUCGUCAUUGGUCAUCAUUAUCUAGAGAUUAAGGUUGUUUGAAAUUAAGGCUUAGGCAUUGUUGUGGUUAGUUGUCUGAUCAAUGUAAGAUUGUUUUAUGACUACGCUUUUAAAUUUAAUUAGUAGAUCCGAGACACCUUUUUUGUUAUUACGUGUGUAAGAUUGUGUUUUGUGUAUUCAUUCUCUUAAACCACAUUGGAGUAAUGAAAUGUUAUAGUUUUAAGUUUAUU